CCCUUCCAGAGGGGGACAACAGUUGGAAACGACUGCUAAUACCGCAUACGAUCCAAUCUCGGCAUCGAGACUGGAUGAAAGGUGGCCUCUAUUUAUAAGCUAUCACUGAAGGAGGGGAUUGCGUCUGAUUAGCUAGUUGGAGGGGUAACGGCCCACCAAGGCGAUGAUCAGUAGCCGGUCUGAGAGGAUGAACGGCCACAUUGGGACUGAGACACGGCCCAG
rnacentral:rRNA from 1 species